UUUUGGACAAUGGGCGCAAGCCUGAUCCAGCCAUUCCGCGUGAGUGAAGAAGGCCUUCGGGUUGUAAAGCUCUUUCGCAAGGGAAGAAACGAUGCAGUCGAAUAAACUGCGUUAAUGACGGUACCUUGAUAAGAAGCACCGGCUAACUACGUGCCAGCAGCCGCGGUAAUACGUAGGGUGCGAGCGUUAAUCGGAAUUACUGGGCGUAAAGCGUGCGCAGGCGGUUUUGUAAGUCAGAUGUGAAAUCCCCGGGCUCAACCUGGGAACUGCGUUUGAAACUACAAGGCUAGAGUGUAGCAGAGGGGGGUAGAAUUCCACGUGUAGCAGUGAAAUGCGUAGAGAUGUGGAGGAAUACCAAUGGCGAAGGCAGCCCCCUGGGUUAACACUGACGCUCAUGCACGAAAGCGUGGGGAGCAAACAGG
rnacentral:rRNA from 1 species